UACGAAGGGGGCUAGCGUUGUUCGGAAUUACUGGGCGUAAAGGGCGCGUAGGCGGCCGUUUAAGUUAGGUGUGAAAGUCCUGGGCUCAACCUGGGGACUGCACUUAAUACUGGAUGGCUUGAAUUCGGGAGAGGAUAGCGGAAUUCCCAGUGUAGAGGUGAAAUUCGUAGAUAUUGGGAAGAACACCGGUGGCGAAGGCGGCUAUCUGGACCGACAUUGACGCUGAGGCGCGAAAGCGUGGGGAGCAAACAGGAUUAGAAACCCCAGUAGU
rnacentral:rRNA from 1 species